rnacentral:lncRNA from 1 species
CUGCCCUCCUCAGAUUUUUUAAAGUGAUGUCCUAUCUAUUUUAGAUUCAAGUCUGACUUGGCUUUUCACCUGAACAGAAGUUUAUCACAUGUUAAGUAUUGGCUAAAGUAAGAAAAAAGACAGACUCAGCAAGAGAGUUGUAAGCACUUAUAUUUUACCUCACAUUCGGGACAGACAAAGUGCAUGUACUUGAUUGGUUACUGUGGCUCUGCUGACAUGCACUAACUGGUCUAGCUGCAGUAAACUUAGCAUCUGUCUGAGCCCUGAGGGUUUGUCUGCAAACAAAAGUUGUUGGGUUUAACCAUGCCAUUAAAGUGCAAUGUAGCCCUCAAGGACAGAUGCAGCCAGUUUGAAAUAAAAGCAUGCAAACCCAAAGAAUUUGGCCCUGUAAGAGAAUAGCAGUAAGCUAAAGGUAUAAAAAUUAUCUUUAUACCUUAGUAUAACAUUGCCUAUAGGAGAAAACACCAGUGUACCACCACUUCAUGUAAUUAAGUCAAUGAAAAUACUGUGCAGAAAGUAAGGCUUGAAGUAAUAGAGUACCAUUACUGCUGUUAAAAUUAUAACUGAACACAUGUUUCAAAUCAUUCCACGUCUGUGGUGUGUGUCAUUCAGCAGGGAAAAAAAUUACCCAGACUGCACACAGGAAAAGUGUUUGGGGUGGGAAGGAAACACACAAAUGGUAAAAUGCCACCAAGAGUCUUGUGUAAGAGAUAUUAAAACUUUCUGUUCAAGUACAAAAUGGUACAUUAAAAAUUCAGGAACUAGAGAACAGGAAGGAAUCUGAAUCAAAAAUUCAGAUUAAUUGAACAAACAGUCAAUUGCUAAGAUUUCUUCAUUAUGUGUUCAUUUAGUAAUUCAUGACAAUUUUGUGACUUUAGGAAGGUGGAAAGUAUGACAGUAACAUGAUAGUUGGCAAACAAGUUUUUCUGUUGUUCUUGUAGGAGCUUGAUUUGAGACUUGGAACCCAUAUAUAAUGCAUUCACUGUUUUAAAGGGGAGCAAAAGAAAACAUAAGCCUUGCACAUUGGUAGAUAGACCUAAAAUCUAAUACAAAAUAUACAUUAUAUGCUGAAUAUAUGCAUUGAAUGUGGUAUAUGUGGAAAUUCUUUGUGGUGGAGGGACAGCAUUGCUCCUGGAACAGAUAAUAAAUUACAGACCAUUUCUUUUGGCAUGAUUUACAAUAUUUAUUGCAAGUAUCUGCCAUAACAUAAUCAGCUGUGUGACACAAAUUAGUAAAAUAUGUUCGAUAUACUCUUUUGUCCUCCGAGGAAACUGUGAAAUCUGAACUUUAGUGUAGCAAAAGGUUUCUGUUGAGGUUGGAUCAUCACAGUCAAAUGCAAAAUGACAGACACUGUUAUAGAAAAAAUGGCCAUCCUUCAGUAGUAAUGCAUGACUUUAUGCUGAUGUACUUCCUUUUCACUUUUAUUAUGUAUUUAUGUAUUAGAAUCUAUUUGGGUUAGCUGGGGAGGUUUUGGUAGCAGGUAGGCCACAGGGAUGUGAGAGGCUGGAAUGUUAAGUGACUCACACAGUGAGUCCAGGUUUGCAAACCCCAGCCAAAAGGGAAAAGGAGAGGUUUUGGGAGUGCAGAGAAAGCUCUGAUUUGCACAAGAACAGGCAAAGUGUGGAGGGGUGGGCACCCACUGGUGGAUGACCAUGACAAACCAAUCUUUGCUUAGCAGCAAGAAGGGUUGGGAGCCAGAUGGGGGAAAAUAAAUAGACCCUGUGGAGAUAUAAUUGUGCUUCUUAUCAUGCUGGUGUCCUCCCUUACACAAACAGGCUCAGGUGUAAAACUACCUCCUGGGAGAUUUGUCAGGACACAGGCCUGAGGGCUUCCAUCCCUUCUGAUGGGCAUAACUGGCUCAGCCACACUGAUGUGAGAGGCAGCUUAGGAGGUGUCAUAAACCAUCAAAGACCCCCCAAGCAGCCCCAGACUCAUUUCUGAGGCCUUCCACCAGAGAACUGUGAUCCAGAGUAUUGCAACAGACAGACGAUGUUGCAACAGUGUUAAAUUCCCCUAAGAGAGGUACCUGGGCAUUUCUACCCAAAUGUAUUAAUUAACACAUUGAAUUCUGUGUUUCAGGCACUUCCCCCACCCCAGACAGAUUAGGACUGAGACCACCACUUCACCCAAUGGAUAUCAAAAUUGAACCAACCAAGUCUUGUCACUGGAUUCAUGGGUGGUGACUGUGUAUCUUUCAACUCUAAUCCUUUCUUUCUAGCUUUUUCCUUAUAAAUUUUCUUAAGUGUUAUUUUUAUACUUUCCUAUGGCUACAUUUCUAUAGAUUAUAGCCAAAAUGAUGGCUACCUACCUCCUUUCCAUUGCAAACAAAAUUGUUCUAAAAUCAGUAUCUAUGUGUUUGUGUGUGUAUGUAUAUAUAUAUAUAUAUAUAUAUGAAAACAUUGUCUAUUCAGUGUCAUUUCACUCUAAUCCACCCCAGGGGAUCUACUAAUAAGAACCCCAGCUACCCUUGCCUUCAGGGAUGGGUUGUAACAAGUUACUGUCUGUGAGACGACACCAGAAGAUGUCCCCAUGUUGGACAGAAGGAGUUCCAGAUGACCCCAGGGUGUGCCAGCUGGGGACCGAAGCUAAGCCUGUCCAGGAUGUUGGUCUCACCUCUGUAAUAACAUAUUUAGGGAGUGCUAACAAAAGCUGCACAACAGCAUCUGAGAGAGAAGAGUGAGAAAAUGUGGGAGCAAAGUCCUGCAGACAUCAUGGUCAACAAAGAAGGAGCUUGACUCAUGAGCCUUUCACUGUAUAUUCUCCCCCUGUCCUGUUGAUGGAGAGAGAAUGAUAGAGCAGAUUAGAAUAUUGGUGGACAGCUGACAAGCCAGUCAAGGUGAACUCACCACAGAGAGAGUAGUGUUAAAGGACAUAUUCUCAUACGAUUUUACCUUCUCCUGCAUUAUCAACUAUCUCAAAUAGGAAAAUGCCAAUCAAGUGUGACAUGAGCAAUAGACCCUACACAGCUACCUCUCUAAAGAAGAACCUUCCUCUGACAGAGUCACCAGUCUUUUAGAACCAACUUUUCAAACCACAAACAUCGAAGUGCUGACUUCAUUUUGUCAUAAGAUAUUUAGUUUUGUCAUUAUAUUUCUAAAUCAGAAUUCUUCAGUACCAAUAUAUUUAGCAUUAUUAGAAUAAUGUAGAUUCAUACCCCAAAAAAGGAAAAAAAAAAAAAGCAAAAAAAAAAAAAA